rnacentral:misc_RNA from 1 species
UACGAAGGGUGCGAGCGUUAUUCGGAAUCAUUGGGCGUAAAGGGUGUGUAGGCGGCAUGAUAAGUCAACUGUUAAAGACCCCGGCCUAACUGGGGAAAUGCGGUAGAUACUGUCUGUGCUAGAGAGUGGAAGAGAGAAGUGGAAUUCUUGGAGUAGCGGUAAAAUGCGUAGAUCUCAAGAGGAACACCGAUGGCGAAGGCAGCUUCUUGGUCCAUUUCUGACGCUAAUGCACGAAAGCGUGGGGAGCAAACAGG